rnacentral:rRNA from 1 species
UACAGAGGUGGCAAGCGUUGUUCGGAAUUACUGGGCGUAAAGGGCGAGUAGGUGGCCAUCUAAGUCAGACGUGAAAUCCCCCGGCUUAACCUGGGAACUGCGUCUGAUACUGGACGGCUAGAGUAUGGGAGAGGGAUGUAGAAUUCCAGGUGUAGCGGUGAAAUGCGUAGAUAUCUGGAGGAACACCGGUGGCGAAGGCGGCAUCCUGGACCAACACUGACGCUGAGUGAGCGAAAGCCAGGGGAGCAAACGGG